rnacentral:rRNA from 1 species
UUUUACGAGGUGCUGCAUGGUUGUCGUCAGCUCGUGCCGUGAGGUGUCCGGGUUAAGUCCCAUAACGAGCGCAACCCCUACCUUUAGUUGCCAUCAGGUUAAGCUGGGGACUCUAAAGGAACUGCCUACGCAAGUAGUGAGGAAGGCGGGGAUGACGUCAAAUCAGCACGGCCCUUACGUCCAGGGCUACACACGUGCUACAAUGGCCGAUACAGAGGGCAGCUACCUGGUGACAGGAUGCAAAUCUCCAAAGUCGGUCUCAGUUCGGAUCGGAGUCUGCAACCCGACUCCGUGAAGUUGGAUUCGCUAGUAAUCGCGCAUCAGCCAUGGCGCGGUGAAUACGUUCCCGGGCCUU